GGGCAUGGCCAUACCACCCUGAAUGCACCCUAUCUCUUCUGAUCUCGGAAGCUAAGCAGGGUCAGGCCUGGUUAGUACUUGGAUGGGAGACUUUUUAAUUCUUAAGCAGUGUUUC
ensembl:rRNA 5S_rRNA 5S ribosomal RNA